UGCACCGAAGCUGCGGCAGCGACACUGUGUGUUGUUGGGUAGGGGAGCGUUCUGUAAGCCUGUGAAGGUGUGUCGUGAGGCAUGCUGGAGGUAUCAGAAGUGCGAAUGCUGACAUAAGUAACGAUAAAGCGGGUGAAAAGCCCGCUCGCCGGAAGACCAAGGGUUCCUGUCCAACGUUAAUCGGGGCAGGGUGAGUCGACCCCUAAGGCGAGGCCGAAAGGCGUAGUCGAUGGGAAACGGGUUAAUAUUCCCGUACUUGGUGUUACUGCGAAGGGGGGACGGAGAAGGCUAUGUUGGCCGGGCGACGGUUGUCCCGGUUUAAGCGUGUAGGUGUGUGUUCCAGGUAAAUCCGGUUCACUUUAACACUGAGGCGUGACGACGAGGCACUACGGUGCUGAAGCAACAAAUGCCCUGCUUCCAGGAAAAGCCUCUAAGCAUCAGGUAACAUCAAAUCGUACCCCAAACCGACACAGGUGGUCAGGUAGAGAAUACCAAGGCGCUUGAGAGAACUCGGGUGAAGGAACUAGGCAAAAUGGUGCCGUAACUUCGGGAGAAGGCACGCUGACACGUAGGUGAAGUGAUUUACUCAUGGAGCUGAAGUCAGUCGAAGAUACCAGCUGGCUGCAACUGUUUAUUAAAAACACAGCACUGUGCAAACACGAAAGUGGACGUAUACGGUGUGACGCCUGCCCGGUGCCGGAAGGUUAAUUGAUGGGGUCAGCGCAAGCGAAGCUCCUGAUCGAAGCCCCGGUAAACGGCGGCCGUAACUAUAACGGUCCUAAGGUAGCGAAAUUCCUUGUCGGGUAAGUUCCGACCUGCACGAAUGGCGUAAUGAUGGCCAGGCUGUCUCCACCCGAGACUCAGUGAAAUUGAACUCGCUGUGAAGAUGCAGUGUACCCGCGGCAAGACGGAAAGACCCCGUGAACCUUUACUAUAGCUUGACACUGAACAUUGAGCCUUGAUGUGUAGGAUAGGUGGGAGGCUUUGAAGUGUGGACGCCAGUCUGCAUGGAGCCGACCUUGAAAUACCACCCUUUAAUGUUUGAUGUUCUAACGUGGACCCGUUACCCGGGUUGCGGACAGUGUCUGGUGGGUAGUUUGACUGGGGCGGUCUCCUCCUAAAGAGUAACGGAGGAGCACGAAGGUUGGCUAAUCCUGGUCGGACAUCAGGAGGUUAGUGCAAUGGCAUAAGCCAGCUUGACUGCGAGCGUGACGGCGCGAGCAGGUGCGAAAGCAGGUCAUAGUGAUCCGGUGGUUCUGAAUGGAAGGGCCAUCGCUCAACGGAUAAAAGGUACUCCGGGGAUAACAGGCUGAUACCGCCCAAGAGUUCAUAUCGACGGCGGUGUUUGGCACCUCGAUGUCGGCUCAUCACAUCCUGGGGCUGAAGUAGGUCCCAAGGGUAUGGCUGUUCGCCAUUUAAAGUGGUACGCGAGCUGGGUUUAGAACGUCGUG
rnacentral:rRNA from 1 species